CUCUCUGUCAGCCAAGGACAAAUUGACUGAGCCUACUCAAUGCUUCAAGCCUGGCAGCUUCCAGUCAUCUUGUCAAUCAAUGAAUCCAUACGAAGCUUGUCUCACCCAGGCCUGACACAGUAUGGCACAGCACUUUUUGAAGAGCACGAAAAGACAUGGAUACACCAUCAUACCCAACAGUGUGGCAACAAUAUGACAGAGCCCCGCGCUUCCGGUGCAUCAAUCCUCGUGUCAGUGCCUGGGUCCCGGUGUCGCGAGGAGUGAUGGCCGUGCGGUGAUUAUAACGGAAUAAAAAGACGUAAUGAAGUGCUUUCCGCCCCGUUAUUCUCGUGUGCCCGGCUGCUGUCAGACACCUCCACGCUGCCUUGGUGCUCCACUCCUCAACCUCUCCAUCUCUCCAUCCCAUCACUGUGUGCCACAGCCCAGCUUGUUUUCUGCUUAUUUAAUUUUUCUUUCAUAUAAAGUUCUUAUGAAGUUGAA